UGGAGAAGUGUCCGAGUGGCCGAAGGAGCACGCUUGGAAAGCGUGUAAACGUGAUAAGCGUUUCGUGGGUUCGAAUCCCACCUUCUCCGA
rnacentral:tRNA from 1 species